AAAAAAAUCAUUUUAUGAUCUGCUGAAUCAAAGAGUGCCAUGCAAAAUAUUUGGAUUCUUCCAUUAUUUCAUGCAAACUAUAUGCUAACUGACUCUACCAAUGCUAAUGUCCUAGAGGAGACAAAUUUUCCCCUUUCUUGCUUUGAUUUCUCUAUCAAGCUUUUCUAGGUUACAUGUGUUAGGGCGUGUUUACUUAGAGAAAAGUGUUUUUUGUUUUUCAUCUCCAAUUUUUUUAGAAAAUUGGAAUAAUGUGUUCUGCAGAAAAUUUAGAGAACAUGUUUAUUUAUCAAAGUUGGAAAAAUGUUUUCUCUUUAAAAAAAUGGAGAACGUGUUUAUUUGUGAGAAAUGGAAAACAAGUUUCCUAUUUUAAAAACCAG
rnacentral:misc_RNA from 1 species